rnacentral:rRNA from 1 species
UACGUAGGGCGCAAGCGUUAUCCGGAAUUAUUGGGCGUAAAGAGCUCGUAGGCGGUUUGUCGCGUCUGCCGUGAAAGUCCGGGGCUCAACUCCGGAUCUGCGGUGGGUACGGGCAGACUAGAGUGAUGUAGGGGAGACUGGAAUUCCUGGUGUAGCGGUGAAAUGCGCAGAUAUCAGGAGGAACACCGGUGGCGAAGGCAGGUCUCUGGGCCGAUACUGACACUGAGAAGCGAAAGCGUGGGGAGCGAACAGG